UACCCAACAGUAGGACUAUGGGCUACGUG
rnacentral:piRNA from 1 species